AUUGAACGCUGGCGGCAGGCCUAACACAUGCAAGUCGAGCGGCAGCGGGAAAGUAGCUUGCUACUUUUGCCGGCGAGCGGCGGACGGGUGAGUAAUGCCUGGGAAAUUGCCCAGUCGAGGGGGAUAACAGUUGGAAACGACUGCUAAUACCGCAUACGCCCUACGGGGGAAAGCAGGGGACCUUCGGGCCUUGCGCGAUUGGAUAUGCCCAGGUGGGAUUAGCUAGUUGGUGAGGUAAUGGCUCACCAAGGCGACGAGCCCUAGCUGGUCUGAGAGGAUGAGCAGCAACACUGGAACUGAGACACGGUCCAGACUCCUACGGGAGGCAGCAGUGGGGAAUAUUGCACAAUGGGGGAAACCCUGAUGCAGCCAUGCCGCGUGUGUGAAGAAGGCCUUCGGGUUGUAAAGCACUUUCAGCGAGGAGGAAAGGUUGUUGGCUAAUAUCCAACAGCUGUGACGUUACCCGCUGAAGAAGCACCGGCUAACUCCGUGCCAGCCGCCGCCGUAAUAC
rnacentral:rRNA from 1 species